AAGCUCCGUCCAGCCUGGACGUAGAGCCACCACCGAACUUGACUUCUGCGCCUGGCCCCGAGCUAGUGCCGGCGCCUAACCUACCCAAGGAUCCUCCUACAGGAGAUCCUCCAACAGGCAUGGAGCUUACCGCAGCCCAUGGCCAAUCACUAGUUCCGUCUUCUUCACCCUCACCACUGUCGCCCGAGGAUGAACCUCCGGCAGACCUCACCUUCAUACCGCCUCAGGCUACCACUGCCUCUGCUCCUGCCGGCGUUUCUGGCCUUUCCCCAGAGUCGGUGCCUCCGUCUACUCCAAGGACUGGUAUAGCCAGGUCCUGGGGGAAUAAGAAGAAGAAGAAGAAGGGACGUCAUUAACAAACUAACACAAAAGAGCCACAUGCUCUCCUUGACACCUGUGCCCGAGGUACAGUGUCGCAUUCAUUUGCAGAAUGAUCCUGGCACCUACCCAGAGAAGGUAGCCAGCCUGAUCUCUGCCAGUAGAACUAACCCUCUAACCCCUAGAAAUUGUGAUACUAACACUCAUGUAAAUGUCAUAACUACCUCAUUGCAUUUCCCUCCUGGUAAUUUAACCACUCAUCAUCCCCAACGCAUCAUUACCUCUCAUUAUGUAUUUUAACAGUUCCGUCGCUGAACUACUGCUGUGCGUACCACACUCUGGAAUGAUUGCGUCUUCAUUUAACUGUAUUGAGUAGGUUAGGCUAAUGAUUUAGUACCAGGGCAUUAGGUUAGUAGCAAGUAGAAUUUUCAAGUAACCUUAUCUAGGGGUAGAGUAGACUGUCGUCACAGACGACCCGUAGUUAUUACUUAGGCUAGAUUACAUCCCUACAUUAAGUUAGUACACUUAGCAUCUUUGCCUAUAAGUUAGGUAGGCCAUUGUAGUCAGCCGUAUCGCUGCUCAAAAAACUUCAAGUUAGAGUAGGAGAACUGGGUUGUCGAGGCGAUCAACUUAUUUAAGCCAAGACCUUCACGCCCGAAAGGGAGUGAAUGCCUUCUUAACAGGGGGAGCUGCUACGUUUAUAGAACGCCUCGCCUUCCCAGCAGAGUUUUAGUUUUGUUUAAUUAUAAAAGUAGCAGCCAUGCCGUCUCUUGAAGCUACUGUUGUUGGGAGAGUGGGGAUGUCGUAGGAAUGAUAUUUCCGGUCUGACGGAAGCUUAGGGUAAGAGAGGCAGGUCACAAGAGUAGCUAGGCUUCGAGAUGGAUUUUAGGGACUUCUACAAUAAGACCUAUUUUCCUUCCCAAUUUGCUGGCGUUGUGUUACCACCUUUCAGGCAAUGCUCGAGGCGGUUGUUGGAAGCCCCGUGAUUCGAAAGCAAGGAGUAUCGCUCUCAGUCGGCCGCGAGACGUGGUCUCGGACAGAGGUCAAAUUGCCAGCCUCCCCAAAAUUAGGCCUACCCACGACGCACCGGUGGACCCGGACCCCAGACCUGAACAGAGGUCGGACCGCAUUCUCCUACAAGGAUACACAGAAUAUUGCAUAAAGAUUCCAUGAGUCACGUGCCGUCUCUCUGCUCGCAAGUGUGCAUUAACCAAGUGAAUGAAAUCAGCUUGAAUUGAAUGAGACUAUAAGCCCCAACGUGGGGGCCAAUGUCAUUUAACUUUUCUCCAGGCCAGCACGGGCCUUUUUGUAAAUAAAUAGUUUAAA